rnacentral:lncRNA from 1 species
CACACCCGGUUUUAAGGAACAAAGCUAGGUGCAUCUCAUACAUGCGCCAAGAAGACAACAUAUAUAAUAAUAGAGUGUAUAGAGAUAAAUGUCACAAUAAAAUCAGAGUACUUAUUACAUAGCGGAGGUCUUACAAAAUAAAAGAUGAAUAUAGCAGGAACUAAAAUCUAUCCUUGGCGCCAGAAAGCUGACUGUGAGACGCCACCUAGAUCAAGUCGAAUGCCUCGGUGUUAGGCGGCUCCUCUUCGACCACCUGUUCUUCUCCUGUGGAGGGUGUGAGACAGCAAGAGUGAGCUCACAUACGUUCAUAGCUCAACAAGUCGUGGGGAAUAAUGUGGCAUGAACUCACCAAAGGUGGGAGUUCAUGAAGUGUAAGGCUGAUCAAUGAAAUAGAGGCUGAAGCUGAGCAUUGCUUUUAUAAGUUGGUCAAAAUUUUAUUAGCAAUUACUAAGUGUAAGUAAAUACCAAACCUUAAUAAUAAUAAAGAAAAGUAAUAAUAAAAUAAUCCCAAAUGCGAUGCAAAUGUCAAAUUAAAUUUAAGUUCCAUAAUUAAUCAUGUGAGGGUCCGAGCCGCUCAUGACCGUGAGCAUGGCUAGUAUACUAGUUUUACACUCUGCAGAGGUUGCACAUCUUUACCCACAAGUCAUGUUACCCAUCUGCCAAGAGACGGCCAAUCCCAUACACCUCUACCGAGGAGGCGAGGCAGGGUAACACUGCGAGGCCUUUACAAAGUUCCACUAGCUUCAGAAAUCCCGCUACAGUUUAUAGGAAGCUCCACUGCAGGAAUCCCUCGCCUGACCGCCAUCGCAGCAAAAUCAACCCAAGGACCUCCCUACACUGACCACUCCCCUACUGCCCUUGCCCCUUUCGGGUAAGGAAGACCUCCACUAGCUUUCCUAGUUAAUCAGCCAAGGGCGUCCCAUUAAACCCUUGUGGUAGCACUGUUUCCCGGGUGGUCGCUCCAUGUUCCCAUUAAUUUAAUGAUCUUAACAUGAACAGUAAUAAUAAAAAGAUGAUAAAAGAGUAAUCAUGAAUAUUGUAUCUCCAUACCCAAUCCACAUAAAGCAAUAGCAAGUACUACCCAAAAAUAUUUUAGUGAUAAAACAAGGUAUAAAGAUAACCAAAGCUGGGGUAACCUAUUGGAUCCCAUCAAAAUUAACCUAUGCAGAUCAUUAUAAUUAAUAAGAACAUGGCUGGGAAAAAGUAAGUGAUCAAGGGCACAACUUGCCUUCAAUGAGCUCCUGCUCAGCUACCUCUACUUGUUGAGCCUUAGAAUCCAUAGUGGCCUGCUUGUCUACUCGCAUCACACAAUACAUACGUAGUAUAGCAUAAAUUAACAUCACAUCAAAUAGAUAAAUAAAAUACACAGUAAUAAACUAGACAUUAAAAUAAGAUCACAGAAACUGGAAUCAUUAAAUUUGGAGUUAUAGAUUUCAAGUUAUGAAUUUCCAAAGGUUUAAUGUGAUUGAAAUAGGAUUAAAUGAUAAAUUAAUUUUUUAACUAUUUUCAUGUAAAAACAGAGACUCUAGGUGAUGGAGAAUAAAACUAUAAAAUUUUAGGAACUGUAAUGGAGUAAUUUGGACUAAAUAUGUAUUUUCUAUGAUUUAAUCAAGUUCUAGCAUUUAUUUUUGUAUUAAAAUCAAUUUCUAAAAUUAAAUAACUGAAUUCUCAGAGCUAUGGACUGGGCGCACUAUUUACAGAAAACUCAGGGGCCUCGGGGUAAAAUACCACAGACACAGAGCACAAUCGAUAGGAUGGCGAGUUCAUUCCUAAUAAACUCAGGGUUACUUAUGCAAAAAAUCCAAGCUGAAGGGGUAUCGGCCAAGGUGGGCCGUCCGAUUAGGGACCGAGCGCCAGGAUCAAACCGUGUUUAAAACAAAUCUGUACGUGACUACGGCCGAUGGAUCCGAGUUCGAUGCCUGAGAUCUAACCACGCGCGCUCCAAACUCUAAGCCGACCGAUCACCACUAACCGGUCACGAUUGUAUUUCUUCCACGCUCUCAACCGUGAAAGGAUCUUGGCCUCCCGUUUCCGAUCCUACGCAAGGGAUGUCGUCCCCAACCCCGGGAUAGAACCUGCACUGCUCCAUCCGUUCACCCGCCGGCACACCCGCCGGCAGCAAGCCAUCCCGCAACCUAGACUAACAUUGCCCUGCCCGAGAUACGCUAAUCGGCCGGUAUUGUGCGACGAACUGAAUGGCAGAUUUAUUACCUUCGACGGCGUGAUCAAUCGCCCGCACCACGGAGAAGCCCGCUUCAACGGCGGUCGCAGCACCGGCGCAAUUCUUCCGCCGCGGAGCCCACCAGAGCACCAGAGCAACACCGCGAAGCCACCCGACCGACUAAUCACUAGUCUGAUCACCUCAUUGCGGCUGAUUUCUUUGCUUUUCCCUCAAAUGCCCACGGCGGACCACGAAUCAGCAGUGGCGGCGUUACUUCUUGCAACACACGACGAUGGGGCAAGAAGAUGAGAGGAGAGAGAGGAGGACGGUGCCUGAUUUUAAUAGCCUGGGAGAGGUCGAGCUUGGCCGAACUGAUCUGCGCAAAUCUUGGAGAGCCGGUGGAGCCGCAUGCGCCCAGCC